rnacentral:misc_RNA from 1 species
AAAUUCUUACACAAAUUGCACCAGGUUAAUAGCAAUCAGCACAGCAAGGAUCUUAAUAGGACAGAAACAGGGGGGGUUCCACCAUGUUCACUAAUAAUCAAUGACUUAAGUUUAAAAUGAUUGCCAAUGUAACACAAAUUCUGCCAACCAAUUACAUCUCAUCGUUCAACUUUAGCAACAGUGUUUCCUACUUACCUAUACAGUCACUAACUUAUCAAUAAUGUUUCAUGUUGUGAUACUAAAAUAUAAUUUCGAGCUAAAAUCCGUACAUUGACAAGAGGCAUACAGCAUUUCAGCUUUUUCAGACAUUUUUAAUAUCACCUGGUGACCUAAACCUGU